UCACUUUGUUGUACACCUGAAACUAACACAAUAUUGUGAAUCAACCAUACUUCAAUAAAAAGAAUACAGGCUGCAUCUUUUGACUGGCAAUCACACUGCAUUGCAUUUUGUUUUGGAUUUGUGGGUGAAAACAAUAUUUUGGUAAAUGUACACAUUAAAAUUUCCUCCUCCCCACCCCCUCACCGCUUUUAAAAUUCUGGCCCUGGCAAUUCUUUAUUUUUCACUCAGAGCUUCAAGAAAUGGAAUUAGCCUAACUUGAACUUAACUUCAUGAAGACUUUGCCUCCAGCCAGUAUCUGAAAAAGAAGGAAAAAAUACAAAAAUUACCCAAAUCUGCCAUAUUUGAAUAGAGUCUUCCUCCUUUGAAGCCCUAUCCCAUUCAUUAUCUCCUGUAAUGCUUUCAACAGCCCUCUGAGGGAGGUAUUCUUAUCCUGCUGCUCCAGUGUUCAACGGGGGUGAACAGGUGAGGGCACAGGGCAUGCAGACCAUACCACCGUGCCCACAGGUUUGUUCCCUUACUGCCAGCAUCAGUUCUGGUUGGUAAUGGCCCGUGCUGCACUGAGGUUUACUUGUUUGAAUAGUACCCCCGAUUUUCCCCACUUCACAGGUGAAAACUCAGAUAGGUGAAGGAUGUAAGCCAGGCCGCACAGGCUGAACCUGGGGCCCCUGACUCGGAGAACCCGUGAGCUUUUCCUGCUUCCCAAGCUGCCCCUCUUUAUGGCAGGUUAAAUCAUACCAGCUUUAAAGACCCCAUUACAAUACCUUGGUUUCUUUCUUUUUACCACCAUGGAAGCGGCAGUAAAAAUAUUAAAACCAAUUGCCGUCAUCUUUCAGACCGCUGCGUUUAUGAGACGUAGCCUUCAAAUGAAUGAAAAUAAUCGCAAACUCCCUCCCCGUUCCAUUCUAUGGGGACAUUUCAGAUUUAUACAAUAUUUCUGAAAGCUCUUAUAAUAGGGCAUAUGCACUUAGGGCAUUAAUGAAGUCGGCUCAGUGCUGGCUGGUCUCAUUUCAUGGAGCUAAUUGUUAAGUGUUUUGCAUACUUACAAUUGAACUAAAUUAUUCCAAGCUAGCUGGUUUCAGGAAGUGUUAAUUAUAUUUCAGUAAAGGAAAAUCAAGGCUAAAGAAUCAUCCACUUAGAGCUUAUCUAUUUAUGAACAUCUCAUUCUGGAGAUCUCAAACAUAUAUUUUAACACCAUGUGAAUAUUGAGAUUAAUAUUUCUUCACCAAAGAAAGCUUUAUUCCUCCCUUGAAUAGGCCCCUUCUCCCCCCAUUCCAUCCUUCUAGCUUUAUUCAGCAGUCUAGUCUGAAAGUUGAAAGAGGCCUUCUUUUGUAUUUCUGGCGCCUUGAAUCUUUAAGUUGGGUGCCAAGAGCAGCAUUAGCUCCAUUCAUUUUGAGACUGACUGGCCUUCUAUAAAUGAUAUUAAUUAAUUUAGGGGUCCUGCACAGGCCGUUUCGGACCAAGUGCUCCCUUGCUCCUGGGAUUCUUUCUCGAGGUCCAGGCUGAUGGAACAACAGCUCCCACUGGGAACAUGAAAAUCUCAUGGCAGAGGGAAAAAGAGCAAAGGCAGAACACGUGAUGACCCUUAAACUUUCUGCUUAGAUAAGUGUGAAGAAUGGAGACUAAUGGCUGGCAUUUCAGUCUCAUCGAUGAGAUGCAAACCCACAGACACUGGACUGUAAUUGCAGAGAAAUCACAAGAAGGAGAAGAGGAGUGAGCAGGCCAGGGAGAUGAGCAGGGAACUCAGUAUCCUGAGGGGAGGACAGCAGACUCAAUGGCUUCGCUAAAGCAAGCCUGGUACUUCCCUCAAGCAGCCUGCGGAUUGCAGAUUCCUGCCAGGCCCUCUGGAACCAGCCCAAGGGGAGAUUGAAUUUUGGUGGAGAGUGAGCAGUCCUCACCAUAAUAUCCACUCCAGGCUUUGCUAAGAGAGGGGCAUUUUAGCAGAAGCAAGGUGUCCUCUACCCCCUUCUCUGUAUAAAGAGAGGAGCAGAAUUUGCUGAGUGGAAACAGCCAUGCUCCUCUCCCCAGACUUGCCAGGAACAAGGAGCAGGGGCAGCCACGCCCUGGGAGGUCCCUGAUGUCAGAGGCUGUGGAUAGGGUUACAGUGUCACUGUAACUGUGAGGACCUGGCCGCUGGCCUCCCCUCGUGCUAGAGGCCAGCUGGAGUGAGGACACCAAUGGCUAGAGGCCAGAGUUAGAUAGGAUACUGCGGAGUAGGAUGCGGUCCCCUACCAAGGGGCAGCCAGUCACUCACAAGCAGGACAGCCCCAUCCCCGCUGGUGGGGCUGAUGGAAGCUAUGCAGGAGGUAGCUUUGAACUGGACAAUGAAGC